rnacentral:rRNA from 1 species
UACGUAGGUGGCAAGCGUUGUCCGGAUUUACUGGGCGUAAAGAGCGCGCAGGCGGUCGGAUAAGUCGAAUGUGAAAGCCCCUGGCUCAACCAGGGAGGGUCAUUCGAUACUGUUCGACUCGAAGGCAGGAGAGGGAAGUGGAAUUCCGGGUGUAGUGGUGAAAUGCGUAGAUAUCGGGAGGAACACCAGUGGCGAAGGCGACUUCCUGGCCUGUUCUUGACGCUGAGGCGCGAAAGCUAGGGGAGCAAACGGG